GAAUCAUCCUCAUUCAAUGGGUAGUGACGAACUAGGUCAGGUCGGGAACGAAGCAGCCUUAAGUUUUCUAACUAUGUGAGUGGGGGUGCUUGAUG
rnacentral:SRP_RNA from 1 species